rfam:Podospora anserina genomic DNA, chromosome 6.
GGCGAAGUGGCCGAGUGGUUAAGGCGCUGUGUUUAGGUAAUCAGAUUACCCGAAACCGCAGUGGGAAACCUCGCGAGUUCGAAUCUCGUCUUCGUCA